AGCAGUUACUAGUGUGAGAACUAUUGAUGGUAAAACUAAUAAAUUUCUAAUCACAAUAGGUUUAUACUAAGGAUUUGCACUAAGUCCUAUUUACGCCUCAUAUUAACAACCUAGUUGGUGCAUAAUGGAUGAAAGUCACAUGGACUAAUAUUAGAUUAAGUAAAACAGAUAAAAGUCACGUGACCCAUCUUAUCAUUAUCUGGUCUAGCGUGACGUGCAAUAAUGGCUAGAUAACGGCCGAUAGUGUGAUCGAGGUGCAGGUGUCAGUCCAUAUAGGUGGCAAGCAGCGCUGGUGGGGUGCAGACUGUGGUGCU
rnacentral:lncRNA from 1 species